CCUACGGGAGGCAGCAGUGAGGAAUAUUGGUCAAUGGACGGAAGUCUGAACCAGCCAUGCCGCGUGCAGGAAGACGGCUCUAUGAGUUGUAAACUGCUUUUGUACAAGGGUAAACCUGAAUACGUGUAUUCGGCUGAAAGUACUGUACGAAUAAGGAUCGGCUAACUCCGUGCCAGCAGCCGCGGUAAUACGGAGGAUCCAAGCGUUAUCCGGAUUUAUUGGGUUUAAAGGGUGCGUAGGCGGAUUGAUAAGUUAGAGGUGAAAUGUCCGAGCUUAACUCGGGAACUGCCUCUAAUACUGUUGAUCUAGAGAGUAGAUGCGGUAGGCGGAAUGUAUGGUGUAGCGGUGAAAUGCUUAGAGAGCAUACAGAACACCGAUUGCGAAGGCAGCUUACCAAUCUAUAUCUGACGUUGAGGCACGAAAGCGUGGGGAGCAAACAGGAUUAGAUACCCUAGUAGUC
rnacentral:rRNA from 1 species